UGGGGAAUAUUGCACAAUGGGCACAAGCCUGAUGCAGCCAUGCCGCGUGUAUGAAGAAGGCCUUCGGGUUGUAAAGUACUUUCAGUCGGGAGGAAGGUGUCAAGGUUAAUAACCUUGGCAAUUGACGUUACCGACAGAAGAAGCACCGGCUAACUCCGUGCCAGCAGCCGCGGUAAUACGGAGGGUGCAAGCGUUAAUCGGAAUUACUGGGCGUAAAGCGCACGCAGGCGGUUGAUUGAGUCAGAUGUGAAAUCCCCGGGCUUAACCCGGGAAUUGCAUCUGAUAAUGGUCAGCUAGAGUCUUGUAGAGGGGGGUAGAAUUCCAUGUGUAGCGGUGAAAUGCGUAGAGAUGUGGAGGAAUACCGGUGGCGAAGGCGGCCCCCUGGACAAAGACUGACGCUCAGGUGCGAAAGCGUGGGGAGCAAACAGG
rnacentral:rRNA from 1 species